GCUGAGCACUCCUACGGGAGGCAGCAGUGGGGAAUAUUGCACAAUGGGCGCAAGCCUGAUGCAGCCAUGCCGCGUGUAUGAAGAAGGCCUUCGGGUUGUAAAGUACUUUCAGCAGUGAGGAAGGUGGGUAUGUUAAUAGCAUAUUCAUUUGACCGUUAGCUGCAGAAGAAGCACCGGCUAACUCCGUGCCAGCAGCCGCGGUAAUACGGAGGGUGCGAGCGUUAAUCGGAAUUACUGGGCGUAAAGCGCAUGCAGGUGGUUUGUUAAGUCAGAUGUGAAAGCCCGGGGCUCAACCUCGGAAUUGCAUUUGAAACUGGCAAACUAGAGUACUGUAGAGGGGGUAGAAUUUCAGGUGUAGCGGUGAAAUGCGUAGAGAUCUGAAGGAAUACCGGUGGCGAAGGCGGCCCCCUGGACAGAUACUGACACUCAGAUGCGAAAGCGUGGGGAGCAAACAGGAUUAGAUACCCUGGUAG
rnacentral:rRNA from 1 species